AACGGGUCGAGUUUUUGAUAGCACAGCUGGACCCAAGCUACUUCCUUUGCUCAACACGUUACAAUAAUGGCACAGUUUUCUCUCUCCCCUCCCUCCUUUCCAACUUCUCCUCUCCCACUGCGACGGCGAAUCUUAUUCGCUCCUCCACCAAGAACCGCCGCCUCUUCCGCCACCGACGCCGUUUCCACUUCCACUUCCUCUUCUGCUUCGAAUUACGCGCCCAAAGUCAUCGUCACUAGAGAGCGCGGCAAGAACUCCAAGCUCAUCGCCGCUCUGGCUAAACAUGAAAUCAAUUGUUUGGAGCUUCCACUCAUUGAGCACACGCAGGGACCUGAUUUAGACAGGCUUCCUUCUGUAUUAGGUGACAAUGCAUUUGACUGGGUUGUCAUAACUUCUCCUGAGGCAGGUUCAGUCUUUCUAGAGGCAUGGAGAGCUUCUGGAAUGCCUCAUGUCAAAAUAGGUGUUGUUGGGACUGGCACUGCAAGCAUUUUUGAGGAAAGUUUGCAGUCUUCAAACCGAUCCCUUGAUAUUGCCUUUGUGCCAUCAAGAGCAACAGGAAAGGUUUUGGCUACUGAGCUUCCUAAGAUUGGAAAUAAAUGCACCGUUCUCUAUCCUGCUUCGGCAAAGGCUAGCAAUGAGAUUGAGGAUGGACUUUCAAAGCGUGGAUUUGAGGUUACUAGAAUGAAUACAUAUACAACGGUUCCAGUUCAACAUGUUGACCAUAUGGUUCUAAAGCUAGCAUUUGAUGCCCCUGUUCUUACAGUAGCUUCACCAUCUGCUAUUCGUGCCUGGAAGAAUCUUCUUUCAGAUUUAGAGUGGAACAAUUCUGUUGCAUGCAUUGGUGAGACAACUGCCGCAAUGGCAAGAAGUUUAGGCUUCACUAAUGUGUUCUACCCAACACAACCAGGCCUCGAAGGCUAUUCAACGUGUUUCUUCCCUCUCUAAAGGCAAGAUGAUUAGCGAGUUAGAAGAGAUUAAAGAAGGAAGAUGCGAGUUGGAGACAGCAAGAUGGAAGUACCGACUGCUUUAUCUUGUUGAACGCAAAAUCAAACAACUGGCUGGGUAGAAAGCAUUCUGGAAGCAUUAGGUUCCUAUGAUGAAUUAAGGUAGGUCUCAGCCCUUCGUUGCAACCUGGAGAUGUUUACAACGGUUUUUCAUGCUGCAAGAUUAAUAUAAUGAUUUGGCAUAGUGGAUGGAUAAAAUUUAUUUUCUUUUCAGUAAUAAUUUUUAAGGCUAGAUUGAUUUAGCUUUAAUAAAGUGAGUAGUAUAUAUUAGGCAAUAAAGUGCACUUAUAGUCAUUGAUUAAAAUACCAGUAGUUGAGACUGUAAUUUAUUUAAAUUUUUGUUACAUAUAUGCAUUUGUUUUUUAAUCACAAAUUCCAACCAUUAAUUCUUUUAAUUAAUGACUAUAAAUGUACCUUAUCUAGUGCACUCUACUUGAAAACUGGAUCCUUUUAGGACUAUUGGAGACAUCAUGAGACAAAUAGUUUCCUGUAAAUAGGUGCUUAUAUUUCUUCUAUAACUACAUUGAGCACUCAAUUUGUCCUUAAAC